GGGCGCAUGGUCUAGAGGUAUGAUUCUUCUUUAGGGUUAGAUUCGUCUACGAACAUAGAAGAGGUCCUGGGUUCGAUUCCCAGUGCGCCCC